rnacentral:rRNA from 1 species
AUGGCUCCGGCUCCGGCUCCGGCUCCGGCGUCCAGCGGCCGCAUCCGGCCGUGGCUGGUGGUUGGCGACCUGGUCCUGGCGGUGCUGUGGGUGUGCGCGGGCGCGCUGGUGAAGUUGGCCGUGUACAACGUGCUCGGACUUGGGGGCCGCCCGGAGGGGGAAGCCGCCAAGGUCUCGCUCUCUGUCGUCUACAUGUUCCUCUUCGCCUGGCUCGAAUCCGCCACCGGCGGCGCCUCCUACAACCCGCUCACCGCCAUCUCCGGCGCCCUGGCCUCCCGCGGUGGCCUCGCCCUCUACCUCUUCACCGUCUUCGUACGGGUCCCUGCGCAGGUGAUUGGGGCGGUUAUUGGAGUGAUGCUCAUGCGAUUCGCAUUCCCUAAAGUAGGUAAAGGAGCUGCGUUAAGUGUCGGUGUUCAUCAUGGGGCUUUAACUGAAGGACUGGCAACCUUAAUGGUCGUGAUGGUGUCAUUGACACUUAAAAAGAAAGAACAGGGGUUCUUUGUGAAGACAUGGAUUGCCAGCAUUUGGAAAAUGACGAUUCAUAUCCUUAGCUCAGAUAUGACUGGAGGAAUUAUGAACCCUGCAUCUUACAUUUCUGCUAGCCAGCACUCCAUAAUAUUAUGUUCCGCUGCAAUGUGUGGUGAUCAGUUGAUAUGUGAAAUGUUCAUAUCAUCCAAGUGUGCCAUGGUGAUAUCAAACUUUGGCCAUAAAAUCAAACAGUUUGCCUUUGCUUGGGCCUAUGCUCGUGGAGAUCACACAUCAUUUGACCACCUACUGGUAUAUUGGCUCGCACCCCUCCAAGCAACCCUUGUAGGAGUAUGGGUGGUUACCUUCUUAACUAAACCCAAGAAUACCAAGGAGCAAGCAGCAGAUAAAAACAAGAACAAAAAGGAAUAA